UGGGGAUGACGUCAAAUCAUCAUGCCCCUUAUGACCUGGGCUACACACGUGCUACAAUGGGCGGUACAAAGGGUCGCGAACCCGCGAGGGGGAGCCAAUCCCAAAAAGCCGCUCUCAGUUCGGAUUGCAGGCUGCAACUCGCCUGCAUGAAGCCGGAAUCGCUAGUAAUCGCCGGAUCCAGCAUGCCGCGGUGAAUACGUUCCCGGGCCUU
rnacentral:rRNA from 1 species